CCUACGGGAGGCAGCAGUAAGGGAUAUUGGUCAAUGGGGUAAACCCUGAACCAGCAACGCCGCGUGAGGGAAGACGGUUUUCGGAUUGUAAACCUCUGUCCUCUGUGAAGAUGCUGACGGUAGCAGAGGAGGAAGCUCCGGCUAAUUACGUGCCAGCAGCCGCGGUAAUACGUAGGGAGCGAGCGGUGUCCGGAUUUACUGGGUGUAAAGGGUGCGUAGGCGGCUUGGCAAGUCAGUAGGGAAAUCCAUGGGCUUAACCCAUGAACUGCUAUUGAAACUGUCGAGCUUGAGUGGAGUAGAGGUAGGCGGAAUGCCCGGUGUAGCGGUGAAAUGCGUAGAGAUCGGGAGGAACACCAGUGGCGAAGGCAGCCUACUGGGCUUUAACUGACGCUGAGGCACGAAAGCGUGGGUAGCAAACAGGAUUAGAUACCCUUGUAGUC
rnacentral:rRNA from 1 species